CCUACGGGAGGCAGCAGUGGGGAAUUUUGGACAAUGGGCGCAAGCCUGAUCCAGCAAUGCCGCGUGAGUGAAGAAGGCCUUCGGGUUGUAAAGCUCUUUUGUCAGGGAAGAAACGGUUCGGGUUAAUACCUUGGGCUAAUGACGGUACCUGAAGAAUAAGCACCGGCUAACUACGUGCCAGCAGCCGCGGUAAUACGUAGGGUGCAAGCGUUAAUCGGAAUUACUGGGCGUAAAGCGUGCGCAGGCGGUUGUGCAAGACAGAUGUGAAAUCCCCGGGCUCAACCUGGGAAUUGCAUUUGUGACUGUACGGCUAGAGUGUGUCAGAGGGGGGUAGAAUUCCACGUGUAGCAGUGAAAUGCGUAGAGAUGUGGAGGAAUACCGAUGGCGAAGGCAGCCCCCUGGGAUAACACUGACGCUCAUGCACGAAAGCGUGGGGAGCAAACAGGAUUAGAUACCCUGGUAGUCCACGCCCUAAACGAUGUCUACUAGUUGUCGGGUCUUUAUUGACUUGGUAACGCAGCUACGCGUGAGUAGACCGCCGUGGGAGGUACGGUCGCGAGAAGUUAAACUACGAAGAAGUAGUAGACGNGNGAGAGCGACGACGACGACGACGGAGGGAGGAGG
rnacentral:rRNA from 1 species